GUGAGAACGCAUAAAACUCCUGGUUGCAGAUAUGGACAGGGAAGCAUACAAGUUAAGGAGGAAUUUACUGCUGUGAUUCCAAUCAAUACUAAAAUGUACAGUCAUGGUUGCUUGACAGCAUCGACCUAUGUGAAUGAAAAAUUCCUGCUUUUGAAGCAAAUUGUGUGAACAAGAAUGGCUUCGAUCCUACCAGUUAAAACACUGCCUCACUCUGGUUUCAUCCGCCCGUCUCACCAGAUCUAACAGAAAGGAAUUGGGAUAUUAUCCUCUCUGAAAUAAGUAGCAAAGAAGUCUGACAAUCUAACUCACUUUCAGCCCAAAGUUUUACAAUGUUGCUUAAAAGUAUAAUUUGUCUGGGUACUAAAAGGAACAGAAAAGAUAUACUGGAAUCUAAGAAGUCGGAUGAAGUUUCAUUGCAGAAAUACCCUGUAAUGGCUACAAAGCAGAGUACUUACUAAAGCAACUAUCCAAGCCUUCGGAUCAUAAAGAAUGUGGAAAAGUUGAUCUGCCAGAGUCACAAAUGAUGAGUUGGUCGAUUUUAUAAGUUCUUUAAUUCAAUUAAAAAUAAUAAAUAUAUAUACACAUACAUAUACCACAUUGCUGGUGUACUCAAUAUGAAUAAAAGAAAAUAAAAAGAGUUGCUUAAAUCGUUCAUCUUUUUAGCAGGAGAAACAGCAAUACUGCAGA